rnacentral:lncRNA from 13 species
AUGAUGAAUACAGUUUCUGAUGCAUUGUCACUGUGUGUUCUCUUGUCCCUGCAGCUGACCAAUCUGAACCUGAUUAACAGGGUGCUGAGCAGAGGGGUUAUCACCCUGACCCGCGCGGUGCAACAUGGAGCUGUGACCCAGCGGCCUGUGAGGGUGGUCCACUCUGGCACAGGCCCCAUCAGCAGCACUACUAGACCAUGUUGGCUGCUCAGGCCAUGAUGCCACCCUAUCAUGUGACGGCCCCUCGGCCCCAGCCAUCCAGAGCCUCAACAAGUAAGACCUGGAGCUAGAACUGCCUUCACACCACGCUACACCACACAACAGCACAGCACUGGCAUGCUGCUGUUCAAUACUCUAUCACUAAAGAGUUCAUUAUUACCACUUUGACUGGACCAUGAAUAUGCAGUAUGUGUGAUGGCUAAUGGGUCUAGAGGACUAUAGCUGUGCUGGAGGGGUGAACCAGGGUCCAGCAGCAGUAGAGAGUUUAAGAGGAGGUGGUGGUGAGGGUAAUGAGAGUUAGACUACUUGAAGCGUGAAGCGUACGGUCCUAGUCCCUUGGCUUCAGGCUGUAUCUGCCCGUUCAGUAAACAACCUCAUCACAGGCCUGAUUUGUGCCUGCUCAGUAAACACAUUGCGGUUCAACUGCAGGGCCCUAUUUAUGAGCGCCAUUUAAACCCUGUUUUGUUUGGAGAUUAACAGAAGAAGAGAGGAGGAAAAAUAGAGAAAGAAAGAAAAGUUAGGGAUCGGGAAAACGGAGCGGAGCCUGAAACUGCCAUCUGUUUCCCACGCUGCAGUAUGACUUUAUUACCCAACAUCUGGCCAAAUUACACAACGAUGGCAGACCUCGGCGAUAGGGCUGCUUGUUUAAAGCACAUGGCCUUGGUGGAGGGCUCCUCUCUCCCAGUGUGAGGACAGGGCUCCAGCCCCUGUGAGGCGCAGUGGUCCUAACUCUGUCACUCUGCAGAGCCCCCCCCUCCCCAGUCCUGCUGUGUGCUACUCUGGUAUUAGCAUCAGUGAGAUUUAUAAGGACCUGGACAUUAGAUGUUGUUGUCUUUUUUUGCUAAGUAUGCAUAUUUAUAGAACUGUAUGGUAAAGCAAUUGCUCUAUGUGUCUGCUCCUACUGUGUGAGACUGGCAAGUGUGCAUGCCACUUGUCUUUCUGUCUGUAUC